CACGUAGGGUGCGAGCGUUGUCCGGAAUUAUUGGGCGUAAAGAGCUCGUAGGCGGUCCGUCACGUCGGGUGUGAAAUUCCAGGGCUCAACCCUGGACCUGCAUUCGAUACGGGCGGACUAGAGUUCGGUAGGGGAGACUGGAAUUCCUGGUGUAGCGGUGAAAUGCGCAGAUAUCAGGAGGAACACCGGUGGCGAAGGCGGGUCUCUGGGCCGAUACUGACGCUGAGGAGCGAAGGCGUGGGGAGCGAACAGG
rnacentral:rRNA from 1 species